rnacentral:lncRNA from 1 species
GAGAUCUGGGAGGCGUCCGGGACCUCCCUCCCAGAACCGCAGGGACCCGGCCUGGGAUCCAGGGUGUGGCCUCUCGCUCUGCGCGGUCGGGAAGGCGGCCGGGUCCGGUCACCGCGCCAAGCACUGCGCACCCCUGGGACGCGUCGUUGCGGGGGGCUGGGGGGCUGGGGCGCCUCCACGACGCCUGGUCUGCCCGGCCAGUGCUUGGUGUCGUUGGUGGGUUCGUGGCUGCGACGGGUAAACGUCCGUUCCGCGAGCCGGGCAAGGCAACCCCUGCGGGUCGCGCCCGAAGGCCGGACCCCUCCAAGCCGCCUGGGAGCUUCCAAACAGGUGGACCCGAAGCUCCUGUUUGAUCGGAGAAUAACGUUCAAUUUACUCCGCCGCUGAACUGAUGGUUUAAAUAUUCAUCUUUGGAUAUGGUUUCACAUUAGGCAAAAGUUAGGAGCUUGGAGGCGGUUCCGGGAAGGGGCCUGACCCUCAGUCACCCACGUUCGUAGCCGGGUGAUCUGCCCUCGGGCAAGAGAAGGAAGAUGAUUGGGAGGGUGCCAAGAAAGCCUGGAGAAAGUCCCUUCUGGGUUCAGCGGCUGUAGCCGCUCUCCCAGGACGUUUGUUGGCAAUAAAUGAAGGAAGGUCGGCCCGGAGACGUUUUCGCACAACGGACAGAGGGGAGUUGGAGCGUAAACCAGCGAGAAGCUGGCAUGACAUAGGAUCCCUCUAUUCUCAGUUUGUUUCCAAACUCUUAGACUGCCCCAGCCCUGCCGGAUUUGCUAAAAGUGGUCUCUUCUGGACGCCGGUGGGGCUAUGGGGCUGACGGCUGCCUGUGCAAAGAAGAGGGAAGAAUUGGAAGCUGGGGUCUGGGCAGCUACCAAAGAUGGGGCUUGGGAACUUUUCAGAACGUCCUCAGAACCGCAGG